AUUGAGAUCCAGUCUAGGUGCUACUCCAUAUAUUUUGUUUCCUCAGGAGCUGUUUAUUUUUUAAAUUUGCCUGUGAUUCCCAGACUGGAAACUGCUUCUAACUAGUGUCUUUUUCCUUGAAAACCUGGCUGCUGUUGUCCAAGCCAGGAGCUUCAUUUUUUUAGCAUAGCUUAGUUUAAUUAUGAGCCUGUUUAGCCUAAGUGUGAUCCCUGGCUGGAGGGCUGGCGAGUUUCCUCUCGCAGUUAAAGCACUCAUUUAUAAGUAGGUCUGUACUUACCUUCCUCCUCUAUAGAAAAUAGAGCUGAAUUUUAUAUUCUGCAGGAAUUGCAUUCAAACACAGAAAGGAGAAGCAGGCCUUGGAGCAGGGACCAGAUGUAAUGAGCACCUUGAACACUGAACUGCCGAGUUAUCCAUCCUUCCUGACCUUGUGAGGUUGGAGCUUUUUUCCCACACAAAGGUACUGCUCUGAGUGAACAGCAACAUUCCCCACCUCCUGAGUAGCCUUGUUUCUUGCAAGCCUUGUGUUUUGGGCACUCAUCUGGAAGAUAAAAGGUUAGGUUUGAAGUUCAGACAAGAGAGAAUUGAAUCCUUUUACAGGGCAAGCAUUCUCACCACUUGGCUAUUGUGCGGGAAAGAAAGGCUCGGUGUCUCCUUCUUCCGCGGCGUUCUGAAAGGGAAGCAGGAGCUCUGCUCAAAGGGACUCUGCUCCUGCUGUCAGCAAGGGCUGCUUGCUGGGGAGCUGAGCUUCCCAGAGACCACUCACACCCACUGGAGAUUAAUUUUUAAUGGUUUAACUUGCGGGUGGGUAGCUGGGGCUUGGGGAAUCCCGUUCAGCCUUUUGGCUACUGUUGACUGGAACACAAAAACAGCAAUACUGAGGCAGAGGUCUGCAGUGAAAAGCUGCUCCCCAGAAAAGGGACUUACCUUGUUUAUUUCUUUUCAUUUUAUAAUUUUGUGGGUCUGGUAGCGGAUUGGCUUCUGGGGUUACUACCCCUUCACCCCACUGGCCAGACCAGCUGCCAACCAACAUUAUUUUCAGGCUAGAAAUAUGUAAGCAAAGGACAGUGAACAAAAACAAGAAAGGUUGUUUAUGUUCCAAAGUUUCAGAAAGUGAAAAACUGACCAUUAAUAUUGCACAGAAACUAAAGAUCUGACUCCAUCUUAUGAACAAGUAGAAGGCUUUAAAAAAUCUCAGAAAAGCCAGGGAAACAGGUACCUCAGUCCCCACACACCGAGUUAUCCAUCCCCCAGGCUGCAGAGGGGCUCGUGGGGAAGUAGGAGCCCUCUUCCCUAAGCCAAGCAUUCCACUCCAUGGAAGGGAGCUUGGAAAGGAGCCACUGCAGCACCCAACCCUCACACCCCACCCUGUCGCUCUCUAUGAGAUCACAGUUCAGGACUGGGACUUCCUGCAUUUUCUUGGUUCAUUUAUUCAUUUGGGUGUUUUGCUUGUUGUUCUGGGCUUUGCAGUCCUUGCAAGAUGAUUGUAAAUUUAUUUUUCUUUCUAAAAUAAUAUGAUUUAGGUUUACAAAAAGGAAGGUAUCUUCAUCUUCAUACAAAACUGACAAAGUUUUUGGACAAAACCCCUCACUACACUCAGAGAUGUAGAAAAUGGUAGAGGCACCUGUGAGACAGAACCAAGAGUUAUUUUUAUAAAAUAUGACAUGGUAUGUUUAUUAAAAAGCACUUCUACCUCAUGAAUGUUCCAGGAAGCUUUGACCCUUUCAAAAUUUCCUCUAGUGAUGAAAAAGUACCAUUUUUACAGGCUACUUUGUUCUGAUACAUGCAACACUUAAAGACAGCUUGAAAAGCAUAGCAGCACAUACAGCACUAACUGCUGAUGGCACUGAUGACAGAAGUAGGCAAAUACCUGACUUAUUCAUUUAUUUUUAAAUUUUUCUAUUCUAAGAUAUCCAAACUUAUUCAGAUAUUCUCACCACUUCUAAAACAGAGUGCAGGGAUAAUGUGAAGUAAUGACUACUGCCUAAAGAGCUGGAAAAUAUUUCUGCACUUCUUUUAACUGCAGGAAAAGUUCAGAUUAGGCUGUUAGAUUGAAAAAGAUCUUAUUUGGACAACCAGGCAGAGUUGUCAGUUAAAAUAAAUGUUUGGAUUAAAUGAAGAAAUUCCAUAGGUUAUCAUGGCCUGAAGGAGACACACUGCAUUUGUGAAUGGCUGAGAUCCAUGGCCCCAGAAAAAGGAGGAAAAAUGCUUACCCAGUUUCCCUAAAAUCUGACAAUAGAAAUACAAAUAUACUGGCAAGAUGGAACUUUUUUGCUUUAAGUCUUUCCCUCCAAAAAAAAAAAAAAAAAAAAAAGUCUUCCUUGCAGUGAGGAUAACAACGUACAAAGGUACCUGAACACUCAGCUCAGACCUAGACCCUUGGUACUUUCUACAAAAUCCUGGCCAGGCUUUGUAAUACAGGCUUUUGAUGCUUUGUGAUGCAUAAGCAUCAGUUCCAAAAGAACAUCAGAAAAGCAAAAGCUUUAUGUGCUGUUCUGGAAUCCAGCAAAAAAAAUGCAUAGCCUUAGGCAUUGUAUUUAAAUGAGCCUUCCAAGAUCCUCAUGAAUGUUAGCUCAGACAGAGUUUAUCUACCAGGGGAAAACCAGAGAUUCAGCUUCACUGCCAACUUUCUUAAUAAACAUGAGCCACUGGCAUUGUCCAAAAUAGAGCAGAUAAGCAGAAGUUGCACAUCCCACUCAUUACUAUGCUAUAUUAAAGCUUAGCACAGUUGAGGGAACAACAUUUCAGAAGUUAUUUACAGUGAUGUGAACAAUUUAGUUUAUAAACAAAUGAGCAGUAAAUGUCCUUAUCCAGGAGAUUAAAAAAAAAAAAAGUUAGUUUUUACAAAAAAGUCAAACCAGAUUUUUUUCAAGCACUGAUUACCAAAGGAAUGUUAGUGCUUUGGGUGUGUUUAGUAGGUUAUUUAUUUGUUUCUAUUUCAAUUAGCUAGUGCUCAGUGUGCAUGUUAGAGAAAGGCUGCUGCUUUUAGACAGCACAGUGUCUGACCAGCAUUCCAUCUGAUGUAGCAAAAAAGCACUUGGAUGCAGUAGAAGUGCUAAAAUCUGCUUGGGUUCUACCCUUUCCAUAGCACCAAUUCACACCAUUUUCAGCUUGUGGCAGCAAUACCAGCACUAAUUGCAGUUAUUUCCUACUGCAGCAAUUCUUGCUUUAGACACUCUGAGCUCAGAGCACUGAUCUUUGAGAGAGACCCAGAACCUGAAGGUCCUGUUGGGUUUCCUGCCAGGGUGUUAGGACAGGCUGGGCACUGAAACCCUGUCAGAUUUAGGGGAGAUGUGCAGCCAGAUCCCCCAGAGGUUCCACAUGCUCCCCACUCACCCCAGCUGGAGAAGGGCCCCACUGCCAGGUCCCCUGGAAGCAGGAAUCAUUUUUUUCUUGAUGACUGAUACAAAAUCCAAGGCUUUGGCAUCAUUUGCAGGUUGCCUUUCAACUCCCAGGUCUCUGUGAAACACCUGUAUAAUUUGUGAGCCUUGUCUUCAGGUCUGUUAUACCCCAAAAAAAUCACCUUCCACAGAAUCCUUGAGGUUGGAAAGACCUCCAAGGUCCUUAAAUCCAACCUCUGACCAAACACCACCAUUCCCUCCACAGCCUGAGCCAAAGGAGUGCCAGGGCUGAGCCUGCAGAGGGUGAGGAUCCCUACUGAUCCACGGCCUGUGCUCCCAGAAUUAGGAGGCAUUUGGGAAGAGACAGGCAUUUCAAACCUCCCUUCAGAGCUUUAAUUAGCAUGAUUGUCUGCACAGAUAUGUUAAUGGUAGUUUUCUUCACUCUGAUCCAGAAAUUAGGUUGUAAUAAAUAUCAACAUUUUAAAAAGCCUGUUAUCUUGGCUCAGUAUUUGCUCCUCACCCAACCAAUGACACAUCCUACCAGCCCUGCAGUUUCCUCUACAGUUUAAUAAAUCCUUUUCAAACAGAUUUUUUUUGGUGUCCAUGAAAACUUCCAGGAAAGCAGCACUUCUUUGAUUUAUACAUUUUUACACAUCAAAAUAAACAAGCAGUGUUUCUUUGUGUGCCCAGCAAGCUGAAAGGGUGGAGUUUCAGGAGCCAGUUAUUUGAGAGACCUGAAAUAUCCUGAAGAAAUGGUACAAAGCUCCUGGGCCUGGAUGAGUCUGGGGACCCUGCAAGGCAAGGAAAGUGAGGGGAAUGUCACCGUGGAUGAGAAACACGAGAGUGGGGAAAGCUGGAGGCCAAAGGGAGAAACAGAGCUGAAGAAUGAUCAGAGUCUGAGACUUUGGUAACCCACCCCAUUUAUCUGUGCUAAAUGAUUCAGGACCCUGCAAGAUCCAGCUUCGGUUACUUGACUUCUAUUUUAAUAUUUGAAAUAAAUGUGAUUAAAUAAUAAAUUUGAUUGUCUACUUGGAAGUGUUUGUUUCCUCAAGCCUAAUGCUAAU